CUCUCACUUAAAAAACAACACCCCUCAAAAUCCCGACUCUCAACGUUCCCUGCCUGCUGUGCUCUCUAAAACCCUAUUCCUCACUCUCUCUCUCUCUCUCUCUCUCUCUCUCUCACUCUUAGGGUUUCGAUUUUAUAUUCCGCAUCCAAAACGAUGUCGUUGAGGCCGAACGCGAGGGCGGAGGUCCGCCGCAACAGGUACAAGGUGGCGGUGGACGCGGAGGAGGGGCGGCGGCGCAGGGAGGACAAUAUGGUGGAGAUCAGGAAGAAUCGCAGAGAAGAGAGCCUCCAGAAGAAGCGCCGCGAGGGGUUUCAGCCGCAGCAAUUGCCGGCUAAUCUUCAGUCGCCGGCGCUGGAGAAGAAGCUAGAGCACUUACCGUCCAUGGUUGCUGGAGUUUGGAGUGAAGAGGGCACUCUGCAGCUCGAGGCAACUACUCAGUUUAGGAAGUUGCUAUCAAUUGAGCGCAGCCCUCCAAUUGAGGAAGUUAUUCAAUCUGGUGUUGUUCCUCGCUUUGUGGAGUUUCUAAUGAAGGAGAACUUUCAUCAACUUCAGUUCGAGGCAGCUUGGGCUCUCACAAACAUUGCGUCUGGGACGUCUGAGAACACAAAGGUGGUUAUUGAACAUGGUGCUGUUCCUAUCUUUGUCAAAUUACUGAGUUCUCCAAGUGAUGAUGUUCGUGAGCAGGCUGUUUGGGCGUUGGGGAAUGUUGCUGGUGAUUCCCCAAAAUGCCGGGAUCUGGUACUUGGCAGUGGAGCUCUGAUUCCAUUGUUAUCGCAGUUGAAUGAGCAUGCAAAGCUCUCCAUGUUGAGAAAUGCUACUUGGACAUUGUCAAACUUUUGCAGGGGCAAGCCACAGCCUCCUUUUGAUGAGGUUAAGCCAGCACUUCCAGCUCUAGCUCGUUUGAUUCACUCAAAUGAUGAAGAAGUCUUGACUGAUGCGUGUUGGGCUCUUUCAUACCUUUCUGAUGGUACUAAUGACAAAAUUCAAGCCGUUAUUGAGUCUGGAGUAUGCCCCAGGCUUGUUGAACUUCUGCUUCAUCCAUCUCCAUCUGUACUGAUCCCUGCUCUCCGCACAGUCGGAAAUAUUGUUACUGGUGAUGAUAUGCAAACUCAGGUGAUCAUCCAACAUCAAGCUCUUCCUUGUCUGCUGACCCUUCUGACCAACAAUUAUAAAAAGAGCAUCAAGAAGGAAGCCUGCUGGACAAUUUCAAAUAUCACAGCUGGAAACAAAGAGCAGAUUCAGGCUGUAGUCGAUGCUAAUAUAAUUGGUCCACUUAUUCAACUGCUUUCAACUGCUGAGUUUGAUAUAAAGAAAGAAGCUGCAUGGGCAGUAUCAAAUGCGACAUCUGGUGGUUCUCAUGAUCAAAUAAAGAUUCUUGUAAAUCAUGGGUGUAUCAAGCCAUUGUGUGAUCUUCUUAUCUGCCCCGAUCCAAGAAUUGUUACAGUUUGUUUAGAAGGCCUGGAGAACAUCUUGAAGGUUGGAGAAGCUGAGAAGAAUUUGGGCACAACAGGAGGUGUAAAUCCCUAUGCUCAGUCGAUUGAUGAUGCAGAGGGGUUGGAAAAGAUUGAGAAUCUACAGACUCAUGACAAUACUGAAAUUUAUGAGAAGGCAGUUAAGCUUCUCGAGACAUAUUGGUUGGAGGACGAUGACGGUGAUGAAACAAUGCCACCGGGUGAUGUUCCAACUGUUCCAGCUGGUGGUUUCAACUUCGGAGGAAAUGGUCCAAGUGUUCCGUCUGGUGGAUUCAACUUCAGUUAGAGGGAUCGGUGGCUGAAGAGAGUGCUGAGAGGAGCUGUGUUGACUGCAAGGUGACCAGGACACCAUUGUGGAGAAGUGGGCCGGCUGGUCCAAAGGAUUUUCAGACCCUGUGCAAUGCCUGCGGCAUCAGGCUGAGGAAACGACUUGCCAGUCUGAACCCAGAAGACAAAGCAAACAAGGGGAAGAGAAAGAAAUCCAGAACAGAAAGAACUAGGCCAACAGCCUCUGUCUCCACUAAUGGCUCAACAACAAACACUGCUGCUGGUAAAAGCACUUCCACAACAGCCAAAAGUGCUUCUCCUCCUCCUCCUCCUCCUCCUGCUGCUUAUGGCAAUGCUCGUGGCAGUCGCGGCACAUACUUGCUCAGGGCGGUGAGGAUUGUUGCGAAUAAACAGAGAGUGGUGAGAAAGUUGAGGUGGUGCUUCCAAAGGAGGAGGAGGACUAAUUUUAGGAGGACUGGUUUUUACUUCUUUGACAAAAAUGUGGAACAAGCAGCUGUGGCGGCGUUGCUAGCUCUCUCAUGUGGCUCCUCUCUUGAUUGAAAGAGAGUAACACUGUGAAUUUGUGGAAGGCUUAUCGAAGAGUAAUAUAAAACUCUGACCAAAAUCUUUUGAGAUAGUUACUUUUUACUGAUUUAGAGUAAGGGCAACUAUGAUAUUUACCCUACCCUUGUUGAUGGUAUUUUGGUGGGUUAUUUAGUCUACAGACGUGUUAGUAUUUGGAGGAAGUAGGAAAAGGAAGGUAGUAAUCUGGGGAUGUCAUGGAAGUAGAGAGGAAAUGGAGGGAAUGACAUUCCUGUAUUUUGGGGGUAACCAGCUCUAAUUAUAUAUUGUAUAUGGUACUAUGGGAAGAAUGUGAGUAAUCAAUGAAGAUCUUAUUACGUA